rnacentral:rRNA from 1 species
UACAGAGGGUGCAAGCGUUAAUCGGAAUUACUGGGCGUAAAGCGUGCGUAGACGGUUACAUAAGUCGGGUGUGAAAGCCCCGGGCUCAACCUGGGAAUUGCAUUCGAGACUGCGUAGCUAGGGUGCGGAAGAGGGAAGCGGAAUUUCCGGUGUAGCGGUGAAAUGCGUAGAUAUCGGAAGGAACACCAGUGGCGAAAGCGGCUUCCUGGUCCAGCACCGACGUCAGGCACGAAAGCGUGGGGAGCAAACAGGG